GAGACACCCUUCUGGGGCAAGACUUGCUUCAGUGGGGCUUUGGUGCUCACUGAAUCUGCCCCCUGAGUGUGUCCCU
rfam:Myotis lucifugus cont2.7188, whole genome shotgun sequence.